rnacentral:tRNA from 3 species
GCGCCCGUAGUUCAGUGGAUAGAACGUCAGGUUGCGGACCUGAAGGCCGCAGGUUCGAUUCCUGCCGGGCGUACCA